AAGAUGAGUGCUCUCCUAUUCCGACUUCCCCAGAACCUUCGGUAGCACAGCCGAGACAGCGACGGGUUCUCUGCCCCUGCGGGGAUGGAGUGACAGAAGUUUUGAGAAUUCAAGAGAAGGUCACGGCGAGACGAGCCGUUUAUCAUUACGAUAGGUGUCAAGUGGAAGUGCAGUGAUGUAUGCAGCUGAGGCAUCCUAACAGACCGGUAGACUUGAACCUUGUUCCUACAUGACCCGAUCAAUUCGAUUAGGUACUCGCCAUCUAUUUUUAUUGUUCAACUCUUUGACAACAUGAAAAAACCAAAAGCUCUGCCCUCCCUCUCUAUCGAUCCAAGGGAUGGAAGGGCAGAGGCCUUUGGUGUCCCCUCC
rnacentral:misc_RNA from 1 species